GAUGAACGCUGGCGGCGUGCCUAAUACAUGCAAGUCGAGCGAACAGAUGAGAAGCUUGCUUCUCUGAUGUUAGCGGCGGACGGGUGAGUAACACGUGGGUAACCUACCUAUAAGACUGGGAUAACUCCGGGAAACCGGGGCUAAUACCGGAUAAUAUUUUGAACUGCAUGGUUCAAUAGUGAAUGACGGUCUCGGCUGUCACUUAUAGAUGGACCCGCGCCGUAUUAGCUAGUUGGUAAGGUAACGGCUUACCAAGGCGACGAUACGUAGCCGACCUGAGAGGGUGAUCGGCCACACUGGAACUGAGACACGGUCCAGACUCCUACGGGAGGCAGCAGUAGGGAAUCUUCCGCAAUGGGCGAAAGCCUGACGGAGCAACGCCGCGUGAGUGAUGAAGGUCUUCGGAUCGUAAAACUCUGUUGUUAGGGAAGAACAAAUUUGUUAGUAACUGAACAAGUCUUGACGGUACCUAACCAGAAAGCCACGGCUAACUACGUGCCAGCCGCCGCCGUAA
rnacentral:rRNA from 1 species